CCUCUUGGUGAUGACAAGAUCCUCGGCUACAUGCUAGCCGGUCUUGGUUCUGAAUUUGAACCUCUGGUGGCCUCCAUCACUGCUCGCGAGGAGCCGAUCAGCCUUGGCAGCUUUACGCGUUCCUCGUCAGUGCCGAGU
rfam:Triticum urartu cultivar G1812 contig1408565, whole genome shotgun sequence.